AGCGGCGGACGGGUGAGUAAUGCCUAGGGAUCUGCCCAGUCGAGGGGGAUAACAGUUGGAAACGACUGCUAAUACCGCAUACGCCCUACGGGGGAAAGGAGGGGACCUUCGGGCCUUCCGCGAUUGGAUGAACCUAGGUGGGAUUAGCUAGUUGGUGAGGUAAUGGCUCACCAAGGCGACGAUCCCUAGCUGUUCUGAGAGGAUGAUCAGCCACACUGGGACUGAGACACGGCCCAGACUCCUACGGGAGGCAGCAGUGGGGAAUAUUGCACAAUGGGGGAAACCCUGAUGCAGCCAUGCCGCGUGUGUGAAGAAGGCCUUCGGGUUGUAAAGCACUUUCAGUAGGGAGGAAAGGGUGUAACUUAAUACGUUAUAUCUGUGACGUUACCUACAGAAGAAGGACCGGCUAACUCCGUGCCAGCAGCCGCGGUAAUACGGAGGGUCCGAGCGUUAAUCGGAAUUACUGGGCGUAAAGCGUGCGCAGGCGGUUUGUUAAGCGAGAUGUGAAAGCCCUGGGCUCAACCUAGGAAUAGCAUUUCGAACUGGCGAACUAGAGUCUUGUAGAGGGGGGUAGAAUUCCAGGUGUAGCGGUGAAAUGCGUAGAGAUCUGGAGGAAUACCGGUGGCGAAGGCGGCC
rnacentral:rRNA from 1 species